GAUGAACGCUGGCGGCGUGCCUAAUACAUGCAAGUCGAGCGAACGGACGAGAAGCUUGCUUCUCUGAUGUUAGCGGCGGACGGGUGAGUAACACGUGGAUAACCUACCUAUAAGACUGGGAUAACUUCGGGAAACCGGAGCUAAUACCGGAUAAUAUUUUGAACCGCAUGGUUCAAAAGUAAAAGACGGUCUUGCUGUCACUUAUAGAUGGAUCCGCGCUGCAUUAGCUAGUUGGUAAGGUAACGGCUUACCAAUGCAACGAUGCAUAGCCGACCUGAGAGGGUGAUCGGCCACACUGGAACUGAGACACGGUCCAGACUCCUACGGGAGGCAGCAGUAGGGAAUCUUCCGCAAUGGGCGAAAGCCUGACGGAGCAACGCCGCGUGAGUGAUGAAGGUCCUCGGAUCGUAAAACUCUGUUAUUAGGGAAGAACAUAUGUGUAAGUAACUGUGCACAUCUUGACGGUACCUAAUCAGAAAGCCACGGCUAACUACGUG
rnacentral:rRNA from 1 species